rnacentral:rRNA from 1 species
UACGUAGGGUGCGAGCGUUGAUCGGAAUUACUGGGCGUAAAGCGUGCGCAGGCGGUUUUGUAAGCCAGAUGUGAAAGCCCCGGGCUUAACCUGGGAAUGGCAUUUGGGACUGCAAGGCUUGAGUGCGGCAGAGGAGACUGGAAUUCCUGGUGUAGCAGUGAAAUGCGUAGAUAUCAGGAGGAAUACCGAUGGCGAAGGCAGGUCUCUGGGCUGACACUGACGCUCAUGCACGAAAGCGUGGGGAGCAAACAGG